rnacentral:rRNA from 1 species
UCGCCAGACUCCUACGGGAGGCAGCAGUGGGGAAUAUUGCACAAUGGGGGGAACCCUGAUGCAGCAAUGCCGCGUGGGUGAAGAAGCACUCCGGUGCGUAAAGCCCUGUCAGCAGGGAAGAAAAUGACAGUACCUGGACAAGAAGCCCCGGCUAACUACGUGCCAGCAGCCGCGGUAAUACGUAGGGGGCAAGCGUUAUCCGGAUUUACUGGGUGUAAAGGGAGUGUAGGUGGCAUAACAAGUCAGAAGUGAAAGCCCGGGGCUCAACCGCGGGACUGCUUUUGAAACUGUUAAGCUUGAGUGCAGGAGAGGUAAGCGGAAUUCCUAGUGUAGCGGUGAAAUGCGUAGAUAUUAGGAGGAACACCAGUGGCGAAGGCGGCUUACUGGACUGUAACUGACACUGAGGCUCGAAAGCGUGGGGAGCAAACAGGAUUAGAUACCCUAGUA